GGCCACUUUACAAAAGAGGGAGGAAAUCAUACUUUCUUAGAUCAUUACACUGAACUUGCAGAAUGACUAAUCCAUACGUUCAAAGCCAUGGCUUUUAUUCCAAGGGAAACCUUAGUCUCUGCUCAAGAUCAGAGUUUAAGGCAGCCUAGGACCUCAACCUAGGGUUAAAGAGCUUGGUGUACCCUUCCCAGAGCCUGCUCUGAGAUGCUUCAGAAAGAAUCUAGAUUCUCUUCCUUGCUCUGAUGCUAAAUGUAUGGUUUUACACAAUCAGUAUCUUCAUAUCCAAAAUGGUGAGACAAUCAACACCCUCCUGGAUCUCAAAGAACUGCCAUAAUGACCAAAUAAGAAAAUGUGUAAGAAAAUGCUUGUAACUACAAAGUGCAAUUCAUAUAUAAGAGAUGAUGAUGAUGAUGGUGAUGGAGGACAUGGCUAAAAUCCACCAACUGGGUGCAGAUGGAUCUUGAUGCAACGUACUAGAAAAGAGUGGAUAAGAGUCACAGCUUGCUAUUUUCAGAUCUUUGCAAGAGAGAGUCAGGAGUAACUGAGUGGAAGACAAAGAAAAAACACUGUGAUGAGGAAGGCAUGGAAAGAAGACGAGUGAACAAUCUUCUCUGAAGGAGAGUGUAGCUUCCAGAAAAUAUGCAGGUGGGAGAGUGGUUGUGGCAGAUUCAAACUCCCAUGGCCAGGAGCAGCCAGAGAUGGAAGGGCAUUUGCUGCAGGAUCCCUCACCUGAGGCAGUUCCAGAUUCCCAGCCCAGCAUGCAGGCUACUGGAUCAUACUUUGUUCUUCCCCUGGCCGCAGGGACUCCAUUGUCUGCGGGAGCACAAAAGCCCGCACAUCCUGGAGUUGAUUGCCCUGGUGGUGUUUACCUCACAAAUGCAGCCUAGUUCAGGCCAGAGGGGAGGCAAAGCCAAU
rnacentral:lncRNA from 1 species